AAGUUUAAAGGCGCAUAACUCUCUUAGGAAUUGAGUUAUCGAAAAAUUUUUAACUAACAAAAUGUGCAGAAUUUUAAGGGCUACAAUUCUGUAGUUAACA
ensembl:ncRNA Y119D3B.26 ncRNA